UUGGGUACUGAGGGACUACCAAAACCAGGAAAUUCAUGUUUUAUGAGUUUUCCCCAAAUCAAAGCAACAGGGUUAUGGUCAACAUCAUCCUUUCACUCCCACUGGGUCCUUUCUGAGAGGUGCUUUCAGAGGCAAAAGAAACUUUUUGCCGUGAAAGUCACAUCCACUUUAUGGCUUUGUUUCCUGCUGAAAAUCUAGAUCUGAUUGUUCUAAAUCUGACUGUGAUUCAAACUUCCUACAUAAAUUUAGGAAAAACCACUUAAGGUCUUUAUUUCAGUUUCAGAUACAUACACACAUAGACCUGUAUUACCUAGCUACAGUAUGUAUCUUUCAUAAAACAAUAGUAAAUGUCUAAUAAAUAAGUAAUAUUUUUUGUGCUUUUUCCUAUACCAAGUGUAUGCUAAUGAAUUUCUGUGCUCUAAUUUGGGCAAUCGUACCCUUUUCACCCGCUACCCCCACCCCACUCCAAGAUAUUUGCUCUUGAAAUACAUAUUUAGUAUUACAUACCUUAC
rnacentral:lncRNA from 1 species